GACUUCGGCAUGCACAUGUGAAAGCAGAGUAUCAAGACCCUGAGUGUAUACAUUGGAUGCCCGGGGUGGCUUCUUCAUAGUGGGAUGCGGCUGGGACAUUGAUUAGGGGCCACCUGCUCUCAAUAUUUCUAGAUUUUGUUUCUUGGGUCAGCCAGAUCUGGGGAGGAGAACGAGACUCUUCUGUCUGGAGUGUACAUCUUCCCAGGUGCACAGAGGGCUGGGCUGCCUGCAGCAUCCAGGAGGCUCACAGCACAGAGCCUGCCAUCUGCCAUCCAAAGAUCUUUUUUAUUUUUUUUAUCCUCUUUGGAGAGGAAGGUUUUCCUGUAUCCGAUCACAGGUGGAGAGAGAGGCCAGGCGCUGCGAUGGCUGAAUUUUCUGAGGAGUCCGUCAGGUUGGGUCUUGUCUUCCCAAGCUCAGCGAGGAUGCGGCUUUCUUGCAUCUUGGAUCAACUCAUUCAGUUACUUCCUGUCCAUUUGCUUUCCUAAAUGUGAAGCUGCAGUUUCUCUGGCUCACCCUAUUUUUGUGGAUUUCUGGCUUUAAAAAGACCCUUUUACAUGCCAUUUUAGAGAAGGAAUGGGUGGGAACAAAUAUGGCUACACGUGUUCAGUUCACCAUUUGUCCUCACAUGUGACGAUCGUUUCUCAUGCUUGCCUUUUAUCCAGAUUCUUACUGCAGAAGCAGUGACAGCAUCUGCUUGCAGCAUCUUCAGGUGUGAAGGUUUUGAGACAGAAAAAUGAUACAUCCCACUGUACAAUUUCCAAGAGGCCCAAUUCCUUGAACAUCAUAAUAAACACACCUCUCAGCUAUUGAGUGUCCCCUGGAGGCCAGAUGCCCCCUCGGCUGCCUUGCACGAGUCGUAGCCCGUCCACAGCGGGCCUCUGAAGGAGCAGAGGAGAAGAGUGUGAAGAAGUUCAGGAGGACCCUGAGUUAAUAAGGACUGACUUUGCUAGACACGCAGAACCAGACGUGGCUUUUCCUCACGGUGCGUCUGACUUUACCGUUUGCCAGUGAAUGGACCUCACAGAAGGCUCAGUACAAGAGCCCAUGGGAAAAGUAACGAGCGGGGGGUACGAUUAACCCAGGACUUACCGAGGACCCCUGCGAAGUGAAACUCUAAUCAGAAUGAAGAGGAAGAUGAGGGUUCCCCUUCCUCUCUCUCUGCCUCCUCUCAAACCUUCCUUAACACCAACGUGGAUUCAAGUCCCUCGGGGCAGAGAACCUUGAGGAAAGUCCGCCAGCCCCCUGUCUGUCAGCAUCCUAAAGCUUGCUGAUCCUCCUUGGAGGCUGUUCAGGUGAAAUCAGAACCUGCUUGUUACUUCACCAAGAGCAAGUGGACUUUCCGUUCAUCAGACUGUGGCUGCAGUGGCCCCGCUGGACCUGCUAACUGGCCUGGCCUUCCCGUGCUGAGUGCUGGACAGGCAGCUCAUCCUGAGCAACACCUGACCCUGGUUCUUCCUCCAGCCAUGACAGAGACCCUGGAGGCAGGACUGGAGUCUGGAGGCUGCUGCCACGCAGACAGUACUUGGGGUCCAUUUGACCACCUCCUGCUAUCAGUCCUGGGCGAGAUACGUCUCUGCUUGCUGCCUAUUUCCUCAUCGGGGGAAAAAUUGGUCAAGUUAGCGCCAUUUUGCACGUGGCGUUCUUCUGAGGACCGAGGUGUUUGUGAAGGGCUUGGUGUGACCCUGCUGCACUCUUAGGUCAUUCUUUCAGUAAUUUAUUAUUCAGCAGUGACAGGCAGUGUCCUAGAAGUUGAGCGUCUGGAGAUGAAUGUGAUUUGACCCCUAGUUUCAAGGAGCUCGGUGGUGAGUGGAGGGUCGGGGUAGAGUGGAGGUUCUGACCGUCCCUCCUGCUUGACACUGAUCUCACUGACAGGCACAGUGCUGUCUGUGCACCCCUGGCUCAGCAGGUAUGCAGCCCAGACCCUGCCCCGAUGUCCAGAGCUGCCUGUGCAGAUUGUCACCGCGUCUCCAGCAUGGCUCAGACUCAACGCGGCUCUUAUGGGUCUCCUAGUGUCUCCAGACCUGGUCCUCUUCUCACACCUACCUGGACCCCCUCAUCUCCCCAAACCUGCUCUUUCUGUGGGUUCACAAAGGAGGCGGUAUCUCCCAGUUGUACAGGCAUCUGGGAGGAUGGCUGUAAUAUUCCCACUUAUUACUCUCUCCUAUCCUACCCCAAAACAAGCGCUCAGCUGUGUUCCGAACCUCACUCAACUCUGCCGUUGAUGUUUUCUUCCCCAUUGUAAGGUCCUGACUAAGCUGGCCGUUUCUCCCUGGUCCCUCUUAUACUCAGGGCCAGCUCCUUCUCACAGCAUCCUCGGCUCAUUCCCUCGGUUGCACCCAGGGAACCUCAAUGUCUCUUCACCGCUCUUCACAGUAAAAUCCCUUCCGGGCACCAUGUCCCAGCUGAGGCUGUUCCCGGGCCUCGUGGAACUGGGCUCCCCAUUUUCUUCCCUAUUUUCCUGGCAGGGUCGUCUCUGGAGUCUUUCAGUUAUGCAAAUAAACUGGCGCCCUCUUCCCAGUGGCCAGAAGCACAAAGCACAGAUAAAACAAGCUGGGUGUGCAGAUGACAUCUGAAGUCGGAGGGGACAGUCGUGUGUACGGAGCCCCCACCUGUGUCUUCGAAUACUCCUCCUCUGGGGAAGCUCUUACUGUCUUGAGACAGUAGCUCAAGUACUAUUUUUUUUGUUUCUUUCAGAGAAAACUUCUCUGACUUCCUAGUUUGCAUCCGACUCCUAAAGUCUUUGGACACUUUAAGUGUAUUUUUGUAGCUGAUGUUGGCUGGCAGCCCUCAGUGACUCUCGGGGGCUGGUGACCUCGGACGCAGGAUGACGGUGCUCCUCCAGCUUCCUUUGGGUUGGCCAAGGUGAUCCCCAGGGAAGAAUGGCUUGAUCCCUCACGGCUGAAGGUUAAGUUAAUCCCAGUGGACAGUAAUGAAUCGAUCUUGUGUAUGUGAAGAGGCCCUGUUAAAACCCAAGUGGAGAGGGUGCCGGGACAUGGGUGGAACCCGUGGCAGUUCCUGAGGUGGCACGUGUGGACAGGGUGUGGGAGCCCUCCCCACCGUGCCCUCUGUGGCUCCUCGCAGGAUGUGCGUUGGGGUCCUUUGGAAUCAUUCGUAAUACACCAGUCAACAUAUUUUCUGAGUUCGUGAGCCUCGCUAGCAGCAAAGGAGCCCUGAGGAGGGGAUUGUGGGACCGCCAAUUUACAGCCAGUUGGUCAGAAGCACAAAGCACACAUAAAACAAGCCGGGGUGUGCAGAUGACAUUCGAAGUCGGAGGGGACAGUCGUGUGUAUAGAGCCCUCACCUGUGGGCCUAGGCUGUAUCUAGGCAGCGAUGUCACCGCACAGUUGGACUGGGGGACACUCAGUGGCACGCACUACAGGGGCAUCAUUUACUUGAUGGUGGCAUUCCCAGUACGCUUGUCCCACGUCAGAGCUUGCAGUGGAGAGUUUGCGGGAGCCCGGGGUUCUUCCUCCUGCGUCCUUGGAGCUCAUAAUGUGAUUUCUUAGAAUUGUUAUUAUCUUCAGAGUGUGGAUCUGUAUGAGAGAUAACCACAAGCUCUCAUCAUGACUGUCUGAAGAAUCCCUCUCUCGGUAUGAAGCCAGGAUGUCUGCUCCACUGCUGUGCCCUGGUGGCCUGGACGGUGCCCCUGUCAUGCUGAACAGAUCAUUAUGGAAUGAGUGAAGGGACCACAAGGUCCGUGAGAGGUGGGGCGGAGACUGCUUCCUUCACUGUAGCUUUCUGCAGUGGAAUUGAGUCUCAUUAACACCUGCUCAGGUGAAUGAGGAGUAAGAGAAGCCAUGAAUGAAAUGUUUUCCUAGAGGAUAGUGCUGAAACAUUCUGAGUGGAAACAGAAGCCCCACCCUAGUGCGGCAUCAGUGAAACAAAGUCACUGUGACCGGUUUCUGUGUACGGCUGGAGGACACUCCUGAACAAUCCGCCACAUCAUGAGGCUUCUCCAUUCCAGAACCACCAGUGGUUUCCAGCUUUCUUGGAUAGAGCCAAGAUGUCUGGCAGGCUCCUCUGACCUGGCUCCUCUGCUCCUGCCUCCUGGCCCUGGGCAGGCUUUGCCAUCUUCUCUCUAUGGCUACUUUGUGGAAUGUUCUGCCGGGCUUCACCUCUUCCUGCUCAUCUGACAAAGGCCUUCACUCCAUAAAAUCCCUCUCCUGCAUAUUCCUGUGGAAUUCUCUGCCUUCCUUUUUAUCCCUUUACGCAGCUGUGAAGGGAUGCUGCACUGUCCACCGUGCGUCUUGAUGUUUAAUAUGACUGCUCUAUUCUAAGUCCCAGGAGGUGGCACCAAGACAGUUUUUAUAUUCCCGGUGCCUGGAAGGAGCCUGACCCAUAGUUGGGGUCCAGAGAAUACCUCCUGAGUGACUUUCCUGUCCCACUGACAAGUGAGAUUCUCGAGUUGGAACCUGGAUGGAUUUGACGUCCCUGCUGUGUGGAUGCAGUCCUUGAUCCCCACCCAAUUCCAUCUCUCCUUAGUUUCCCAUUCUAGGUCUUCACCACUGUCCAAACUCGCCAUGAAGGCUGGCCUCAGCCCUGUCCUGUCCCCAUCUCCUCUGGCCUACUGUGUGUGUGACUUACCUGCAUCAGGAUGGGACAAGGCACAGAACCCCCUCCCCAGCAUCUCCUCUUGGCUUCUGCCAUUUCCCUUCUCGAUAUUUGUCUCUGACCCGGGUCCUGGGAGCAAGGUGAGCCUGACACAGCCUUCAACUUCUCUUUCAAGGAGGGUUCACUCUAGAAAGUUCUUAGCCUGCUGAUGAGCUGGCAGAGCUGUUAAUGGCGAAAUUCCCAGUGGGUGGGGGAGGUGUUAGGACCUGUAACCAUUCUGUGUCCAGGACACCAGGCCCUGUUCACCAGGGAAGGCCAGACCUACUGUGACACCUGGGAAUGACAGCAACUACCUGGGGCACCUUUGUGUCCUGUGUGCUUCAAUAGGGCAUCUCCAUUCCCCACAGAGGUCUCAUAAAGUAGCGAUGACCACUAGCAUUUUAUCCUUUCUCAGUUGAGGAAGAAGGUGGGUCUUUGCUGAGGCUACAUUCUAGUGAGAGGCAGAGCAAGUUCACACUCUCACCUGCUUCAUGUGGAUUCAUGUCUCCCUCCUGUGAAGGGAGUGGACGCCUGGCGCCGUGGCCACAGCCCGAGAGUACGUUCCCAUCAGGCGGCACAGCUCGCGCUCCAGGGUGAGGUGCACACAGAGAGCACAGAAACCCAGGCUGGGAGCAAGCUUCUGAAGGCUGGGGACACCGGAGCAGCGGGAGCUCCAACCUGACAAGGUGACCUGGUCCUCACUGGUGCAUGCUGGAAAAGUCCCAUCUGGUGACUGUUGGAACUCUUUGGUGUAGGCACACUUGGCCCAUCCUUGCCUAAGAGCCUGAAAGCCUGUCCUGGCAACUCUUGCUUAUGUGCCAAGGAGACAUGAGCAAGGACAGCUGCAGGCCACCUGAUGGAACAUCGCAUGAACACAUCACAGUAGAGUCACCACAUGGGGGACAUCAUAACAUGGAGUGGACCUCCGCUGAGCCCAGGAACAUGGACGAGCUCAGAUGUAUCGGAUGGAGUUAGAAAAGAGACAGGGUUUCACUGAGUUGCUUCGUGCCUCACAGUUCCUGAAGCUGGCCUUGAACUCACGAUUCUCCUGCCUCAGUCUCCCGAGCCACUGGGAUCACAGAUGUGUGCCAUGGAGCCCAGCAAUAUUGCAUUUUUAAAAGUUCCACUAGGGGUGAAUGGUCUGACUUUAUAAUGCUCUCACUGAAUCAGUGGGAUCACGAUCAAGGCAGAGUCCUUGUGUGUGUUGAAAUGACGGGAAAUCCUAUUCAUGACACGGAAAACAAAGACCCCCCUACACCACCCUGAAAACCACACACGCACAGUCCCACUCAGGAGCAGGCUUGGGGUCCGUGGCUCAUCAGGUCAGCCCGACAUGGGACCCCAGGCUCCAUUCUCUUAUUUUUGCUGCUUUAAUGCCCCCCACAUGACUCAAGCUCCUUUGACGUCUAUGCUGAGCAGGUUCCUAGGCGGACUCCAUCCACUUACUGACUCAGCAUGGUUUUCGCGACACCUACCAUGUGCUUGACGUGUUUGCAAGGCAGCAAGGACACUACGUGAGUUCAUCUUGGCUUCUGUCUCCCAGGAGGUCUGUGCCGAGGAAGGCGGCAGAAAACAGACGUGAAACAGCGUGAUUUGGCCCACACUGCGAGAGGAGCGUCGGGUUCUGUGUGCCCAAGACCAUCCAGGGCCUGGUCCAGCUGGGCAUCAAGAAGGACUUCCUGGGGAAGACAGCUUCUCACCUGGGUCCUGAAGGAGGGAAGCAGGAGACACUUGCUCUGGGGGGUGGGUGGAAGGUGUUUCAGGAAAGGGAAGUGGGAUCAGAGCAAGCGUGAAGGAAACAGCAUGGCGAGUUGUCAUUCUGCAGGGGAGUGUUACUUUUGCCAAGUUGUGACCACUUCAAGUAGAAUUUCCAGCCUUGUUUGUUGGAUCUUCCAUCCUGUGGUACCUCGCGCAAGCUGCAUGGCCCUGAGCAAGUCCCUGGUUCCUUGUAAAUCUCAAUUUCCUCACCUGAAAAAUGAGGCAAAAACCAAACAAUCCCAAUGGUCCCCUGGCCUCCCAACGCAGGCAGGAUCCGCUGUGGGGAAGGGCGGGGAAGUUUCAGUGGGAUAACAGACGCAGAAGUACUUUGGCCAGUAGAAAGCGUGCGACGAGUAUUUUAAUAGCGUGUUAAGAUGACAGGGAUGGCUCUUGCUGAGAUGUGCAUAUGCCAAUUCCUAGUGACAAUGACCGCAGCGGGGGACAUGCAGCCGCCUGAAGGUGACCUAAAUCCAUCACGCUGCUUAAACCCUAGCAACAACAAAGGCAAUUACCGGGCUCAGAGGGUGCUCAGUGAGAUCAGGUAGGUUUUGCUCACCUCGGAGCCCCACCCUCCUCUCAACAUCACAGUCCUUCAAAACUGUGUUUCAGAAAAUGGACUGUGGUCGCCUGCGAGCCAGCCGGGCUUAUUUGCCUGUAGGACGUGAACUGAAUCAUUUAACUCCAGCUGAGUUCUCAUUCCAACAUCCCCUUGACGUUAAAUAACACCAAAAGUCUUUGUCCUGAGUGUUGGCGCUCCUGCUUCCUUUAUGACCUUGAACCUGGGUGCUUGUAAGACCUACAAUUAGGACCUUGGAGAUGUAGUAUGCUCUAAAUAACUCAGUAGAACUUAAACUGGUAAAUCCAGUGUUUGCCGACUCGGCGCCAGGAGCUGUGGCCAUUUCUAUUAUUAUUAAUGUCUUCACAAAGUUCCAUGAAGUGUUACUGCUAUCCACGUCAUCACAAAAAACAGCAGGGACCUGCGUUUGGAUACCUGGCCCCAAUCAAAAGAUCUCAGCACAGCGUCUCUAAAGGGGUUGAGGAUGGAAGCUGGGCUCUGUACCUAAACCCUGGGGUCCCCCCACCGUAUGUAGGGUGCCCAGGCCUCCAGGAGCUUCCAAGGUCUAACAAGCUCCUAGGUGCUGAGCCCUGGACAUCACAGCGUAUCACUUUUGCUUUGAAGCUGUUUCUAGCUGGAGAACCUCACGUGGUGCUGCUAAGUAAGCACUGUCCUCAUGGCUAAGAGCUGUCCUGCCAUGCACCGCCCCCCUCUCCCGGCCUUGGCAUACUCCAGGGGCAUGGAGCACCAAGCUCCAGGCCCUACGGUUCCUUGAGUGGACCUUGGAGAAACCAAGACAAGAGGAAGGCAAGGAAGAGACGGCUCCAGCUGGGCUUUGACUGUCCAGUCUAAGGCUUCAUCCGCAGCCUCACAGCAGAGGGCUUCUGUUCUCCAGGUUCUGAGCCCCUGACUGCAAAGUUUUAGGUCUGGAAUUGGACACCACCAAUUGUCCUCUUUAGGACACUGGAUGGUAAGUCACCUCAUUUCCACAGCCGUCCAGACUGGGAAAUCCACAUUUGGACUCCCUGUACCUGAUGCAGAUGAACGCGUCUCGCUCCUGCCCAACCUGGUGACACGCUUUUUUCUCUUCCUUUCUAUUCGUUUGUAUUUGCUCUAUUUUGUUUGUUUGAUGGUUAAAGAGUUCUGGUGAUGACUCAGGAAACAGAUUUCACCACCCACCGGAACAGGGCUUAAAGUUUGGGGGAGACUCCUCUGAAGCAACUUGGAAAUCUCGAGUCCCCACGUGUUGUCUGGAUGAACCCGUUGGCCCUCAAGGACUGGGAGCCUGCAGACAUGACUCAGCUCAUGUCCACGCUCCCAGGCACCCCGUGCAGCUCCUAGGGGCACAGUAGUCUGUAGGGCCCUCUCCCGAGUGGACUGGCUAGUAGCUUUGUUGAGCUGGGAGUGGCUUCACCUGCAGGCUGCAUCUGAGCAAGUGUGGGUCCUACAUGACCUACUUCAUGCUGAGUUCAGGUAGAACCUGGGAUAGCAUCAUACCUUACAACAACACAGGCCAUGUCAUACACUUCCCAUCUCCUGAUCCUGUAUUAUACGGGGGAUAUGUCGUGCCUUGCAUCCUCUAUAUCAUCAUUGUGUACUUCCAUACUUUGUGUAUGUUAUGUGGGCGGUAAACAGCGUAUUCUCCAUGCACAUGACAUGGAAGAGGUGCCCUCUCGCUCCUGCACUCCCAACAUGCCUGGCCCCCCAGCUGCACACAAUUCCUGGACUCUCUUCCCCACUUCCCUUUUCUCUAUAGAAGUGAUUGACACAUCUUACUUGCUCUUUGUUAGUUUUUUUCUUACAGAAUAUAGGCUUUGACAGUCUGAUUUUUUGUGUAUUUUUUUCUGCUCACUAAAGCACGACAUAUUACAGGUGCUUAUUUAUUUGUUAGGUGAAUGAAGAAAGGACGAAAAUCA